AUGUUACCUUCCAAAGUGUUCAUGCUGAGGUUGAGGCUGGCGAGUCGACUCAGGAGGCCAAGCUCGGACGGCACACCACCACGGAAGUUGUUGUUCGACAGCUGGAGCCUUGUCAGCCAAGUGAGCUUGGCAAUGCAAGGUGCUAUGGUGCCUGAGAUGCCUUGGGAUUCAAGGUCCAGCGCGAUGACACGCCGGGGGGACGUCGCGCUGCAGGUGACCCCGUACCAGUCGCAGAACUCCACGGACACGUUGCUCCAUGAAGCUAGAAAUCCAGCGGGACCCGAGAGCUGGGAUUUGAAGCAAAGGAGGGCUUGUCUAUCGCUCGGUGUUUCAUCGCAAAUUCCUAAUGAUGGUAGGCUGCAAGAGAAACCCAGGAAGAGGCAGAGAAACCGAACGAAGCCUGGAAACAAUAAAGAUGUCAUUACUCAGCUAUCGAGAUUGAAGCAAGCUCUCGCUUUGCAAGAGGAUUUCUAG
rnacentral:rRNA from 1 species